ensembl:lncRNA
GAUGGAGCUGUGAGGUGGCCUCUAAUAUUACCAACAUCGACCAGAUCAGACCCAGGGAGACAGAGAAUUGCUGAGAUGCCUUGUCAGCUCUGUGGCAGCCUAGGCCUUCCCACCCACACAGACUGUGCUUUCAUCUACCGCGUAACUCUUCCUGUCCGAAGAACUGGCCACCCCCACCACCCUGGACCACUGAUCAAGAGAGAUGAUUCUCUCUCUCAUCAUCAACGUGGUCAGUCCCAAACCUGCACCCGGCCUGUCAUAGAUGUAGCAGGGGCCGUGAGUUGGGACUGCUCAGCCCAGAGCUCUGGGGCCUUCAGUCCACAGAGGCUGCUCCAGCGCUUGGCUGAGCAGGGCAAGCCUGGUGUGUUUGAACUUGGUCAGUGUGCCCUCUGUCAACUUAAAACAAAAAAAAAGCACAGCGUGAGAGUUGCAAGCUUCAUCUGGUACAAUAUGAGGACUGCAGCCCAGGGGACGGCCCCUCAGAUAGCUCUGAGAAACUGCCCCGAGGAGGCAGGGGGAGAAAGGUCGGUUUGUGUGUGAUUUCGGUGAAGGGGAAAGACGUGCAGCCAAGCACAUAUCUUUCCAGAAGAUUCUACUAGUCUUGUGGAGCUUUUGCUAGGCACAAGGAACAAUCAUCACCAUGGAUAUUUUUGGUGCAUUUCUAGAUGUGAGGACAUACAAGAACUGGGCUCAUAAAAUCAGCUCCUGAGAACGUCUAACUCUCUGCAGACCUGUCCGGUCUGUUCCCCGACCCUGCUCCCAGCACAGAGGGCCUCCUUUCUGCUUUCCGCCCUGAACUCCUUUCGGCGGGUGUUGACAGUCGGCAGCUGCAGCAGCGCGUGUUCAGUCCUCGUAGAAGCAGAUGGCGAGUCCCAUGGCAAGCGCCAGUUUGUAGCUGACGCCCCUGAAGCGGGCAAUGGCGGCCCUGACGAACCUGGAGCCUCUGAAGAAGGGGUUCCUAGGGCCUGGACCCCAUCUGAGGCCUGUUCAUGCUGCCCAUGCUCGGCCGCCUCUCCAGGGGACUCUGGACUCCGUGUUUAGUGCCUGCAGUAGAAGGAUGAGCCCCGCUCUGGACCGGGGCACCGUUCAGGUCACAUCCUGGCUACUCAUCGCCUAAGAGAAAACACACGUAAUCACCCCUGCCUCCGGACAGGCCAUAAGUCCUUUCUGUAUCUAUUGGAGCGAAACCGCAGGCUUAUAGAUUAUUAACUGUUUGAACACCUAACAUUUGAAUGAUGGGGUUAUUGUGAUUGUAUUCACCCUUCCUGUGUUUUAUGUAAGUCUCAAUGAAAUUGGGGCGGUGUGUUCGGACACGUACACAUGGGGUGUAAAAGAUUUUCACAAAUGCUUGUUGGGAUCCUUGGCUAAGAGGAGACUCUGCCUCGGGCCGCCAGUGUAAUAAACUGCGCUCCACUAUCUGCAUUGUCCUGAGUGAGUUUGUUUCCCGGAAUGCACGGCUAUAACACCUCCUCGAGGGGUGAGAUGGGGGCAGAGGUCAAAGGGGAAAGGAGAGAGGCGAGAAGCUGCUGCAGCUUUGAAGCAGAGGGGAAGGGUUGAGCUGAGGACUGGGCUCAUCUGGACGCUGGAAGCUCUCGGUUCUCGGUUCACGAUUGCUGAAGCCCAGCCUGCAGGAUUCUGAGCACAGCUCUCCUAGCACGUGCCCAGUUGUAUGGCAGUUUCAGUGGUCUUUGGCAUUGCCCUUCUUUGGGAUUGGACGCUGACACUGAUCAAUCCAACGAAAACUGACCAUUUCCAGUCCUGUGGCCCCUGCUGAGUUUUUCAAAUUUGCUGACAUACUGAGUGCAGCAAUAUGGGCUUCCCUGGUGGCUCAGCUGGUAAAGAAUCCGCCUGCAAUGCGGG